rnacentral:rRNA from 1 species
CGGUAUCCGUGCUCGAGACGACGCUGGCGGCGUGCCUAAUACAUGCAAGUGAGCGGACGAAUCGAAAGCUUGCUUUUGAUUCGUUGCGGCGGACGGGUGAGUACACGUGGGCAACCUGCCCUGUAGACGGGAGUAACACCGAGAAAUCGGUGCUAAUACCGGAUAACACGAAAUGUCGCAUGACGUUUCGUUGAAAGACGGCGCAAGCUGUCGCUACAGGAUGGGCCCGCGGCGCAUUAGCUAGUUGGUGAGGUAACGGCUCACCAAGGCGACGAUGCGUAGCGACCUGAGAGGGUGAUCGGCCACACUGGGACUGAGACACGGCCCAGACUCCUACGGGAGGCAGCAGUAGGGAAUCUUCCGCAAUGGACGAAAGUCUGACGGAGCAACGCCGCGUGAGCGAAGAAGGCCUUCGGGUCGUAAAGCUCUGUUGUUAGGGAAGAACAAGUAACGCAGUAACUGGCGUUACCGUGACGGUACCUAACGAGAAAGCCACGGCUAACUACAUG